rnacentral:pre_miRNA from 1 species
AGUGGAAUUGCUGGGUCAUAUAGUAAUUCUACAUUUAAGUUUUCAAAGAAUUGCCAAACUGUUUUUCAAAGGGGCUGCACUAUUUACAUUUCCAUUAGCAAU